rnacentral:rRNA from 1 species
UACAGAGGGUGCAAGCGUUAAUCGGAAUUACUGGGCGUAAAGCGUGCGUAGACGGUAGCGUAAGUCGGGUGUGAAAGCCCCGGGCUCAACCUGGGAAUGGCAUUCGAGACUGCUCUGCUAGGGUGCGGAAGAGGGGAGCGGAAUUUCCGGUGUAGCGGUGAAAUGCGUAGAUAUCGGAAGGAACACCAGUGGCGAAAGCGGCUCCCUGGUCCAGCACCGACGUUCAGGCACGAAGCGUGGGAGCAAACAGG